GAAAUGCGAUAACUAGUGUGAAUUGCAGAAUUCCGUGAAUCAUCGAGUCUUUGAACGCACAUUGCGCCCCCUGGUAUUCCGGGGGGCAUGCCUGUCCGAGCGUCAUUGCUGCCCAUCAAGCACGGCUUGUGUGUUGGGUCGUCGUCCCCUCUCCGGGGGGGACGGGCCCCAAAGGCAGCGGCGGCACUGCGUCCGAUCCUCGAGCGUAUGGGGCUUUGUCACCCGCUCUGUAGGCCCGGCCGGCGCUUGCCGAACGCAAAUCAAUCUUUUUCCAGGUUGACCUCGGAUCAGGUAGGGAUACCCGCUGAACUUAAGC
rnacentral:misc_RNA from 1 species